rnacentral:rRNA from 1 species
CCUGACUGCUAUCGGAUUGGUACUAAGCCAUGUGAGUCAUUGUAGCAAUACAAAGCAGACGGCUCAGUAACACGUAGCCAACCUACCCUAUGGACGGGGAUAACCUCGGGAAACUGAGGAUAAACCCCGAUAGAUCAUAAUGCCUGGAACGGUUUAUGGUCCAAAUGAUUCGCCGCCAUAGGGUGGGACUGCGGUCUAUCAGCUUGUUGGUGAGGUAAUGGCCCACCAAGGCUAUAACAGAUACGGGCUCUGAGAGGAGAAGCCCGGAGAUGGGUAUUGAGACACGGACCCACGCCCUAUGGGGCGCAGCAGGCGAGAAAACUUUGCAAUGUGCGAAAGCACGACAAGGUUAAUCCGAGUGGUUCCUGCUAAAGGAAUCUUUUGUUAGUCAUAAUACCACUGAUGAAUAAGGGGUGGGCAAGUUCUGGUGUCAGCCGCCGCGGUAAAACCAGCACCUCAAGUGGUCAGGAGGAUUAUUGGGCCUAAAGCAUCCGUAGCCGGCUCUGUUAGUUUUCGGUUAAAUCCAUACGCUCAACGUAUGGGCUGCCGGGAAUACUGCAAAGCUAGGGAGUGGGAGAGGUAGACGGUACUCCGUAGGAAGGGGUAAAAUCCUUUGAUCUAUGGAUGACCACCUGUGGCGAAGGCGGUCUACCAGAACACGUCCGACGGUGAGGGAUGAAAGCUGGGGGAGCAAACCGGAUUAGAUACCCGGGUAGUCCCAGCUGUAAACCAUGCAAACUCAGUGAUGCGUUGACUUGUGGCCAGCGCAGUGCCGCAGGGAAGCCGUUAAGUUUGCCGCCUGGGAAGUACGUACGCAAGUAUGAAACUUAAAGGAAUUGGCGGGGGAGCACCACAAGGGGUGAAGCCUGCGGUUC